UACGGGGGGGGGCAAGCGUUGUUCGGAAUUACUGGGCGUAAAGGGCUCGUAGGCGGCCAACUAAGUCAUACGUGAAAUCCCUCGGCUUAACCGGGGAACUGCGUCUGAUACUGGAUGGCUUGAGUUCGGGAGAGGGAUGCGGAAUUCCAGGUGUAGCGGUGAAGUGCGUAGAUAUCCGAAAGAACACCGGUGGCGAAGGCGGUGGUCUGGGCCUGAACUGACGCUGAGGAGCGAAAGCCAGGGGAGCAAAGCGGG
rnacentral:rRNA from 1 species